ensembl:snRNA U6 U6 spliceosomal RNA
GUGCACCCUUCAGCAGCACAUAUACUAAAAUUGGAAUGAUACAGAAAAGAUUAGCAUGGUCCCUGAACAAGGAUGACACACAAAUUUGUGAGGUGUUCCAUAUUUAA